rnacentral:tRNA from 2 species
UCGAUAGCUCAGUCGGUAGAGCAGAGGACUGAAAAUCCUCGUGUCGGCGGUUCGAUUCCGUCUCGAGC